rnacentral:tRNA from 1 species
GCGGGUAUGGCAUAACGGCUGUGCACCAGCCUUCCAAGCUGGUUAUACGGGUUCGACCCCCGUUACCCGCU